GACGAACCGAGCGAACGUUGUUCGGAAUCACUGGGCUUAAAGGGCGCGUAGGCGGGUGCUCAAGUCCGUGGUGAAAUCCUCCGGCUCAACCGGAGAACUGCCUCGGAUACUGGGCGUCUCGAGUGUGGUAGGGGUAUGCGGAACUAUCGGUGGAGCGGUGAAAUGCGUUGAUAUCGAUAGGAACUCCGGUGGCGAAGGCGACUCUUUGGCCUGUAACUGACGCUGAGGCGCGAAAGCGUGGGGAGCAAACAGG
rnacentral:rRNA from 1 species